GGAAGUUUACAAAGACUUUAUUCAAUUCACAUGCAGACUGAGAGUCUGGAGAAUGAGAAUGUGCAGAUUUAUUGCAACAGAGGUAUCUGCAAUGGAGCACCCCCUGUGUAUUUCUUCUAUUCCAAAUAUGUCAGCAGAAGUAUCAGAGAAAUUUUUAGAAAACUGGCGUACACUCCUCUGCCUGUAAAGCCAAGUGCCUUCAUUAUCUGAUCCAAGUUUUUCAACAUCAUUGACUCUCAGGACAUCUGUGAGUAUUCAGCGCUUUGGAAAAAAAUCACACCAUUUAGGUUUGCAUUCAGUCUUCCCACACAUAUCUGUACCUGCUGUAUUUUGAUGCACUGUGUAUUACCCAACUGUUAAGAAUCAGUGUGUCAGUUCCAGUCACACUGUGAUCCUUGGUGAGCACGGGAGGUACUGUGAAGCUCAUCUCUUACUUGAUUAUAAAUACCUCAUGCUUAAGACUGAUCCCAUAUGUUCUGGUGCUGUCUGACCCACUUGCUUCCAGAAAUGUCUCAAAUGGCUGGCAAUCCUGUUUAUUUCCAUAUUUACUCGUCAUAUUCUCAAGCCAUUUUCCUUUAUAAGUUAGUGUGCCCUGGUGUUCAUUUAGUGAUUUUUGAAUGAGCAAACAUGCUAUGCUCCUUUUGUACCAACCAACCCAUUAUAUUCCAGCACGAAAUUGAAGUGAUCUCCCCUCCUUUUAAUCACUGUUAUUUUGACACAGUCUUUGACACAGUACUGAAGAUUUCAGUUUUGUAGGAAUUGUAAGAGAAUGGAACAACAUAACUUCCACUUAAGGUAGGAAGAGUAGUGGAGACUGAACACUGUUUCCAAAUGGGACCCCAUUUCAAUGUUUUUUUGGCACCUGUAAACUGGGGUUAGACCUGUACUAGCAUAUAGCAUUAGACUACUGUACUUGCAUAUACUUUAACUUUAUUAAAAUCAUGUGCAUUUAACGAAUCUCUAUAAAACCAAACACUGUCAGGUAACAAUUGUACAAAUAUUUGUUAAAUAGAAUUAAUAUUAAUAGAAGUUUAUAUACAUGUUUUGGAAGCAACUCUACUGAAAGUCUCAAAAAUAUGUAGAAAGAAACUCUUUCUUGAUAGCAGCUUACAGAGUUUUAGCAUAUGCCUAUGGAAACAUGAUACUUGCACAUGCAUUAUAUUCUGUAGUGGUUCCCUGUAUAGGAUCACAUCAUCUAGUAUGUACCAUUGGGAAAUCCUUACUUGGUCUGUAGAAGACAAGUCAGUUGUUUCAUUAACUUGGAAGAUAAAAAAUGUACACUUUCCAUUUUGUCUUCAACCUCUUCCUGUCCUGUCUCUUUUCCGUUUGUGUUUGGAAUGUCAUAAAAGCUAUUCAGACUGUAGAGGAGAGACUCUGUAUGGAAGGGAGACAGUAUGUGCAUGGUUGUAAACAAUGUGUUUAGAAUCAUGAUAGGCAAAGCACAUACAAGCUUGUUAUUGGACCUGACUACAGGACUCUCUUAAAAUUAAAUGAGCACAUGGUCUUCACAAAAAUAGAAUCUGUAUUUCAAAGGAAAUUCCAAUGCUGCAAGGAUGUUUCCCUGAUUUGCAUAAAUUAUGAAUUUUGAAGGGAUAAAAUUUAGAAAAAAAUACAAAACAAAUUAAUUCUGAAAUGACAAAAGGUCUGUAUUAAAACCAGUUGUUUAACUACUAAACCUUAAUAAUUUAUAUUUCUGAGGUAACAUCUAUUUUCAACAUAUCCACUUUUGUCCAAAAAAGAAAAUUCAGAAGAGACCCAAAUGAGCAAAUCAAAACGAAAUACCACAUUGUGACAUCAAAUCACUUCAAAGUUCUUUCUAUAGAAAGAACUGAAUCAAAAUCAAAACCUUCUAAAACAGACAAGACAGCAUUCUACUAGUGAAAUACUAUUGAACUGCUUCUGAUUAGCAGUGGUAUGCAGUUUCACUGCAGUUACAAGAACAGCAUGAAAGGUGAUUUAGCUCAGUUUUGUUCCUGUAUAGCACAAUGUAUCUUCUACCCUUUAAAAAAAAAAAAAAAAAAAGAACAAAACUAGAUUGUCUCUUGUUUAAGAUAUGGGUCCU